ACCUGGGAUAGCUCAGUUGGUAGAGCAUGAGGCUCUUAAUCUCAGGGUUGUGGGUUCGAGCCCCACGUUGGGCA